AUGUGUUUUCAGAUAUGCUAUAUAAAGUUAUAUUUAUAUAUUUAAACAUUACGUGUUAGUGUAGUCAUUCAUUCCCAAGGCUAGUGUUAUAUCAGGGAGACUAUAAGACGCUGUAGAUUAUCCCUGGUUAUAUGCAUGGUGUUGAACAUGCACUUGUUAGAUAUAUAUCUCAUUAUUAUCAUUUUGUUCAACUCUUGACAGAAUCCUAAUUACAACUUUGUUAUGUGUUGUUGCUUGAGGUUGUGUGAGUGAAAGUUAUGGACGGGAUUGAUAUGUAGUGUUUUUAUUUCUUGCAGGGUGAAUGGCUGAACCUAUUCAUUGUUUAUAACUGUGUCUUACUUUUCAUAUUUUGAUGUUAUAAGGCAGUGAUGACAAGUAUUUAGCCUACUGGGUGAAAUUUGAUGUGUCAUGAUGUUAAUUCCCAAGUAUUCAAGAUUUCUGAAGUUUGCCCAUUGCUCAGACUAGUAUUUAUUCAAGACCUACAGAACUGGUUAUGUGCCUGUUGUAUGUGGGCACCUGUAAGAGAGAGGAACACUAUGAAAAAGGAAUUGUAAGGCUAUUUUUGUAUUAGUUGGAUCACAGAACAUUCUACCCUGUUUUCAUAACAAAAUGUAUUUCUUUUCAAUUUUCAUCAUUUAUUUGUUAAAAGUAAUGCUGGUCAAAUGGUCAGUUGACAUUCAUAUUUCACCACACAGAUUGGUCAAGCUGAUGGAGUAGGGAAAAUAUCAAGAGUUCUGUCCCUUGUCCUUGAUUCACAGACUUUGCUGAAAUUAUCUCCCUUGAUCUUUAGAGACUUUUCAACAUUUCGGAGUUUGAAAAUCAAGAUCCAAAUGUUGACACUGAUGAUAUUUUUCCACCUUUAGCAGAAAAACUGAUCCAUCAAAAGAAAAUUAUAUGGUCAUUGUAUCCAUUGUAAGAUGUAGGGUGUGAUUUUGAAGACUUUUGCUCACAUCUGGUUGUGCCAUCCGACUUAUUUAGAGCUAACUGUGAUAAGACAUUGUUGUGUCACUAUAUAUCCCACCUUUACAUGUUAUGCACUAUACUUUUAUUCUGUGAUGUGGUUUGACUUGAGGUCAUUGGAUGAAAUAAUACACACCGACAUAUCACAAAGUCAUUGACAGGAAGGUGUAAACAUGACAUUUUGUAUUUAUUAUUAUUACUAAUUGUUAUAACAGCGACCCAUAAUUACUGCCUUUGGCAGUUUAGUGUAAAAUUUCAUUAAUCUUGAUUCCCAAGAAAUUUUAAGAUAAUUAAGCUGGUUUUAUUUAACGGGUAGACUUAGAAUUUGACUGAACCAGCAGUUUCAUUGCAUUUCUUGAUUUUGUUCAAUUUUGUGAACAAUUUUUGGAAUGACAUUAUUUCUUGUGGACAGCUGACAAUGUUUUGUAUAUUAAUAUCCAGACAUCUCAUGGCCGUAUAACUGUUGUGUUUAGUCUAGUUGGUUGUACAAUGUAGUACAGGUA